rnacentral:rRNA from 1 species
GACGAACGCUGGCGGCGUGCUUAACACAUGCAAGUCGAGCGGUAAGGCCCUUUUGGGGGUACACGAGCGGCGAACGGGUGAGUAACACGUGGGUGACCUGCCUUCAGCUUCGGGAUAAGCUUGGGAAACUGGGUCUAAUACCGGAUAUGACUUGGCCUCGCAUGGGGUUGGGUGGAAAGUUUUUUCGCUGGAGAUGGGCCCGCGGCCUAUCAGCUUGUUGGUGGGGUGAUGGCCUACCAAGGCGACGACGGGUAGCCGGCCUCAGAGGCGACCGGCCACACUGGGGCUGAGAUACGGCCCAGACUCCUACGGGAGGCAGCAGUGGGGAAUCUUGCGCAAUGGGCGGAAGCCUGACGCAGCGACGCCGCGUGGGGAUGAC